GAUGAACGCUGGCGGCGUGCCUAAUACAUGCAAGUAGAACGCUGAAGGAAGGAGCUUGCUCUUUCCGGAUGAGUUGCGAACGGGUGAGUAACGCGUAGGUAACCUGCCUGGUAGCGGGGGAUAACUAUUGGAAACGAUAGCUAAUACCGCAUAACAGUAGAUGUUGCAUGAUAUCUACUUAAAAGGUGCAAUUGCACCACUACCAGAUGGACCUGCGUUGUAUUAGCUAGUUGGUGAGGUAACGGCUCACCAAGGCGACGAUACAUAGCCGACCUGAGAGGGUGAUCGGCCACACUGGGACUGAGACACGGCCCAGACUCCUACGGGAGGCAGCAGUAGGGAAUCUUCGGCAAUGGACGGAAGUCUGACCGAGCAACGCCGCGUGAGUGAAGAAGGUUUUCGGAUCGUAAAGCUCUGUUGUAAGAGAAGAACGAGUGUGAGAGUGGAAAGUUCACACUGUGACGGUAUCUGACCAGAAAGGGACGGCUAACUACGU
rnacentral:rRNA from 1 species